rnacentral:rRNA from 1 species
UGGGGAAUUUUGCACAAUGGGGGAAACCCUGAUGCAGCGACGCCGCGUGUACGAUGAAGAUCUUCGGAUUGUAAAGUACUGUCCUUGGUGAAGAUAAUGACUGUAACCAAGAAGCAAGCCCUGGCUAAAUACGUGCCAGCAGCCUCGGUAAUACGUAUGGGGCAAGCGUUGUCCGGAAUUAUUGGGCGUAAAGGGUACGUAGGCGGUUAUUUAAGUCUAAAUUAAAAGGCAUUGGCUCAACCAAUGUAAGGUUUAGAUACUGGGUAACUUGAGUAGAUGAGGGGAAAGUGGAAUUCCAUGUGUAGCGGUGAAAUGCGUAGAUAUAUGGAGGAACACCAAUGGCGAAGGCAACUUUCUGGAAUCAAACUGACGCUGAGGUACGAAGGCGUGGGGAGCAAACAGG